ensembl:lncRNA
AGAAAGUGGAUGUAGUAGAAAUGAAGCAUAGUACACACACAGAGUUUCCAGAGAAACGGAUGUUUUGGUGUCGAUCAUGAAGGACUUUUGUCUGAAAACAAAAACGUCCGGUUUCUCUUGAAACGCUUUUUACUACGUCCAUUAUACGCUAGGCGACAGUUUAUUAGGAACACCUGUGCACCUGCUCAUUCUUGCGAUUAUCCAAUCAGCCAGUAGAGCAAUGUAUAAAAUCAUGCAGGUUAAAGGGUGGAGAGGGGAGGGGGUCUGAUCUAAUGGGCUGCAGGCAAAUCUGGACAGUCGAAGGUCAAGAAAAAGAGCGUGGGAAUUUUUUUCCUAGUCUUUAACUGAGCAGUUCUGCAUCCGAUUCCUGGUUUUGGUGGAAAUGAGCAGCGCUCGAUGUGGUUUUCUCCGGUUGUCGCCGAUCCGUCUCAAGGUUUGACGUGUCGUGCGUUCCGAGCUGCUUUCCUGCUCACCACAGUUGUAGAGAGUGGUUAUUUUUAAAAUGCUCAAGCUAACCUGUGUGAAUCACACAUCCCCCCCCCCCCCUUAUUCUGAUGUUUGAUGUGAACAUUAUUAAACUCUCGACCUGCAUCUGCAAGAUUCUACGCAUCGUGAUGCUGCCGCCAUGCGACUGGCUGACUGGAUAACCGUAUGAACGAGCAGGUGUACGGGUGUUCCUAUUAAAGUGGCCGGUGAGUGUAUACAAAAAAACAACACAUUAAGAGGAGGGGUUAGAUGUGUCGGCUUUGGUUCGAGAUCCCAAGCAGCCACACAAUCAUAGGACGGGAGUUGCAUCAAAAUACCGUUUUUUAUUCCAGUCUUUUUUGCCGUACAAAAAGAAUGUUGUGUAGAUUAGAAAAUUAAUAUUAACCAGUUACAAAAUGCCUUUUUUUAAUUACUGGUGCUCAGUCUGAAAGCAAAUCUGUCACAAAGCUACAGUGCCAAGUGAUGGCGGGGGUUCGAGGGGGGAGGGGAGGUGGGGCGGGGUGGGCUGGGGUGGGCAUGCCGUGUUGGUGAAGUGUUAGUGUGUUUCAGGUCUUUAAUCGUCUCAACCGCUAUCUUUAUCUCUCUCACUCUCUCGGAAGCUCUCUGAAUGUGACGCUUUUUUCUCUCCGUGCUGAGCCGCUCCACGUAAAUCUCCUGUAACUGCACUAACCCACGCCCUGUUACACACUCUCGCUCGUGCAACGGCCCAGAACGAGCUGGUCACUGUGAAAGCGCAGACUGUGGGCCUAACGGACUAAAGUUGCACGAGAGAACGAACGAAUGCCUCAAAGUUCAAAUUGUAGGGAGGGUUAUGAAUUCAAGUAGCACUUCUGCUCCAGUGGACGCUUUCAUUCUGCAAGAAGAGGAGAUUAUUCAGAAAAAAAAAGAAAAAAAAAAAAAGUGUGGGAUUAUAUGUGUGGUGAAUUAUUUUGUGACUGUACAAAAAUGUUAAUAAGGGGUGGUGGGGGGGAGGGGGUAAAAAACGAUUUGGGGGAAGAGCUGGAUUUGAACAUAGGCAAGAUUGAAAAAUAAAAAAUACCUUUUUUUUUUUUUAAUGCUAGUUGGAACUUUUAUAUUUUACUUUAUUCCAUGUUAUUUUUUACAUUUUCUUUUCCCAAAAAAAAUACAAAAAAAAAAACAGUGGACAUUAUUCAUGCGAUAUGAAUUUACAAUAUAGAACCCUUGAAUUACUAGCGCAAUGAUGGUACCAGUUCUGCAGUCAAACGAGUCUAGAGAUGUUUGCUGUUGUCGUCAAUGUUUCCUGCUUGUAUCACAUUCUGGUACAUGUAGUCCUGUAAUGGGUUUAUUUUAUUUUAUUUUAUUUUAUUUUUUGAUGUUUCAAGUACAAAAAAAAAAUCAUGGUGUUAUCAUCAGAUCAUUUUUAUUUGAAAAUCAUGUGGAUAAAACAAUUUUUUUUUCAUUCCUAUUAAAUGUUCCAAUGUUUUGGAAGAGGAAAGCUACAGGAAAAAAAAAAAAAAAAAUGGAAACAAUUCAAAUAAAGCUUUUUGUCUAUAGUAGAAUUGUUUCUGAUUCUGAAUGAUGUGUCUUGGGUGAAGUAGUGUGUAUCAGCAUUCAAUUUCAGUGAGCUAAUACUCAUCAGCUUAAACAGUAAAAACGAGCUGUAUUAUACUCCAUAAGGCUCUUCAAAAAUAAAUAAAUAAAUAAAUAAAAGAAAUUAAAUAAAAGAAAAACGCCUUAUAAUAUUGGAAUUCAUCAAAUGUGCAUGUUAAGUGUAAGCGGAGCGGACAAAUUAUAAAUGUAUAAAAAAGCUCCGAUCUGUGAGUAGGCUGAAAAGUCCUUCGCUACGUAAUGUAAUAACGUGCCUAGUACGCUAGCUAUGUGAGGGUGCUAAUACAGACUAGGUUUGUACAGUAUAGAUUUUUACCUGCUCACAAAUUCAUCUAGAAACAAUAGCUUGAAAAAGGAAAAGGAAAACAAACAUUUCCACCAUGUCAGGUUUAAGGAGAGUCCAGGAGGGCAUAAUAAAUGUAAACAGUCGGGGACGGCUUGUUGGCAGUGGCAAUCAUGAAAACUCUGCGGGAUGGGGGGUUUUUCAGGUGAACCUACAGUAAUGCACAGUAAAAAACAAACAAACAAACAAAAAAAAAACAUUAAAAUACAUGAUUCACUAUCAUUCUUUUACAAAUCAGUUGAAUAAACUCUACAUGGUAAGAAGUGCCGUUUUUGACCGUUUUGGGCCAAAGCUUUUGGUGGCAUCCCUAAUAAACACAAGAUUUUUUUUUUCUAGACGAGUCUGGACACUUGUUAACUGCUGGAACACUUGCAUUGAGCGUAAUGUCAAAACUAUUUGCAAAAAACAGUGUCAAUUUAUAUAUAUAUAUAUUAAGGUUUGCAUUUGACUCCCCUUCGUAUUAUUAACUAUAUACACUGAUCAGCCAUAAGAUUAAAACCACCUGCCUAAUAUUGUGCAGGUCCGCCAAAAUAGCUCUGACACAUCGAGGCAUGGACUCCACAAGACCUCUGAAGGUGUACUGUGGUAUCUGGCACCGUAUAAGAUGUUAGCAGAUCCUUUAAGUCCUGUAAUUUGCAAGGUGGGGCCUCCAUGGAUCGGACUUGUUUGUCCAGCACUAUCCACAGAUGCAGAUCUGGGGAAUUUGGCGGCCGAGUCAACACCUUGAACUCUUUGUCAUGUUCCUCAAACCGUUCCUGAACACAGAUCACGUUAUCGUGCUGAAAGAGCCCACUGGGAAUACCGUUGCCAUGAAGAGGUGUACUUGGCCUGUUUAGGUAGGUGGUACGUGUCAAAGUAACAUCCACAUGAAUGCCCAGAGCAUCACACUGCCUCUGCCGGCUCGCCUUCUGACCAUAGUGCACCCUGGUGCCAUCUCUUCCCCAGGUAAGCGACACACACACACACACAUGAUGUAAAAGAAAACGUGAUUCAUAAGACCAGGCCAACUUCUUCAGUUCGGACGCACACGUGCCCAUUAUAGGCGCUUUCGGCGGUGUACAGGGGUCAGCAUGAGCACUCUGACCGGUCUGCAGCUACGCAGCCCCGUACACAGCAAGCUGCACUCCACUGUGUGUUCUGACCUUUCUAUCACAGCCAGUAUUCACUUUUUCACCAGUUUGCUCUAAAUGAGCUUUAAGCACCCAUGACCCUGUUGCCAGUUCACCAGUUUUCCUUCCUUGGAUCACUUUCGAUAGGUACACUGCAUACCGGGAACACCCCACAAGACCUGCUCUUUUGGAGAUGUUCUGACCCAGUCGUCUAGCCAUCAUAAUUUGGCCCUUGUCAAAGUCGCUCAGAUACUUACACUUGCCCAAUUAUCCUGCUUCUAACACACACACACACACACACACACACACAUAUAUAUAUAUAUAUAUAUAUAUAU